GAUGAAGAACGUAGCGAAAUGCGAUAAGUAAUGUGAAUUGCAGAAUUCAGUGAAUCAUCGAAUCUUUGAACGCACAUUGCGCCCUCUGGUAUUCCGGAGGGCAUGCCUGUUCGAGCGUCAUUUCACCACUCAAGCCUGGCUUGGUAUUGGGCGUCGCGGUGUUCCGCGCGCCUCAAAGUCUCCGGCUGAGCUGUCCGUCUCCAAGCGUUGUGAUUUCAUUAAUCGCUUCGGAGUGCGGGCGGCCGCGGCCGUUAAAUCUUUCACAAGGUUGACCUCGGAUCAGGUAGGGAUACCCGCUGAACUUAAGCAUAUCAAUAAGCGGAGGA
rnacentral:misc_RNA from 1 species